rnacentral:rRNA from 1 species
AGGGUUUGAUUCUGGCUCAGAAUGAACGUUGUCGGCGUGGAUUAGGCAUGCAAGUCGAGCGAGAAUCCUGUGAUUGAUCCUUCGGGUGAAGUCACAAGAGGACAGCGGCAAACGGGGUAGUUAGGCGCAGGUUACGUACCCUCUGGUUGGGGAUAGCCACGGGAAACUGUGGGUAAUACCCAAUGAUCCGUCGUGUUGUAAUGACGUGGCGGCAAAGGUGAGAUUCCGCCGGAGGAGCGGUCUGCGUGGUAUUAGCUUGUUGGUGAGGUAAUGGCUCACCAAGGCGAAGAUGCCUAGGGGGUGUGAGAGCAUGGCCCCCACCACUGGGACUGAGACACUGCCCAGACACCUACGGGUGGCUGCAGUCGAGAAUCUUUGGCAAUGCACGCAAGUGUGACCAAGCGACGCCGAGUGCUGGAUGAAGGCCUUCGGGUUGUAAACAGCUGUCAGAGGGGAUGAAAUUGUUGGGGGCUAUCCCCCUUCAUUGACAGAGCCUCAGAGGAAGCGCGGGCUAAGUUCGUGCCAACAGCCGCGGUAAUACGAACUGCGCGAACGUUAUUCGGAAUCACUGGGCUUAAAGGGUGCGUAGGCGGCCUGUUAAGUAGGGUGUGAAAUUUGUCGGCUCAACCGGCAAACUGCAUUCUAAACUGGCAGGCUUGAGUGAGUCAGGGGUGUGCGGAACUUCCGGUGGAGCGGUGAAAUGCGUUGAUAUCGGAAGGAACGCCGGUGGCGAAAGCGGCACACUGGGGCUUUUCUGACGCUGAGGCACGAAAGCUAGGGGAGCGAACAGGAUUAGAUACCCUGGUAGUCCUAGCUGUAAACGAUGAAUACUGGGUUGGGGGAGCAUGUCUCUCUCAGCCGUAGCGAAAGCGUUAAGUGUUCCGCCUGGGGAGUAUGGUCGCAAGGCUGAAACUCAAAUGAAUUGACGG